UACAGAGGGGGCAAGCGUUAUUCGGAAUUAUUGGGCGUAAAGGGCGCGUAGGCGGUUCGUACAGUCAGACGUGAAAUUCCUGGGCUCAACCUGGGGGCUGCGUUUGAUACGUGCGGGCUUGAGUUCGGAAGAGGGUCGUGGAAUUCCCAGUGUAGAGGUGAAAUUCGUAGAUAUUGGGAAGAACACCGGUGGCGAAGGCGGCGACCUGGUCCGAUACUGACGCUGAGGCGCGAAAGCGUGGGGAGCAAACAGG
rnacentral:rRNA from 1 species